CAAAGAUGUCAGUAUCCUGUUUGAUAUCCUGUACUAAGUCAUGUAAAUCUUUUAUAUGUUUAUGGAUCAUAGUGCCAUGGUCAGAUAGGUUAAAAAAAAGCACAUACCUUCAAUAGCUUCACAGCCUAAGCCAUGUUUCAUUAGUAAGUAGUCAAUAGCUGCACUAUUCUCAAGGAUUGCUUUCUUAUUUGCAUGGGUGUCCAUAAGUAGCUCUUCUAAGGCCCUGGGAAGUGGCUUUUAAACCCUUUGCAAGGGAACAGGCUACAGCAUUAAUUACUCGGGUAUUAUACAGUGCUAAGCGUGGGACUCCUACCAUAGAGGGCAGAGUAUUCG